rnacentral:rRNA from 1 species
UACGUAGGGGGCAAGCGUUGUCCGGAUUUAUUGGGCGUAAAGAGCGUGUAGGCGGUUAGGUAGGUCCGUUGUGAAAACUCGAGGCUCAACCUCGAGACGUCGGCGGAAACCAUCUGGCUAGAGUCCGGAAGAGGAGAGUGGAAUCCUGGUGUAGCGGUGAAAUGCGCAGAUAUCAGGAAGAACACCCGUGGCGAAGGCGGCUCUCUGGGACGGUACUGACGCUGAGACGCGAAGCGUGGGAGCGAACA